rnacentral:antisense_RNA from 1 species
UGUCUUUCAUUACUUGAAAUUCAGAAUUCAGUAAGCAUAUUGCUCAUUUUCAGUGGACCUUUAGGAUUAAAGCUUUUCGUUUUCUGAUGUGAAUGGCACUAUCAUGGUAAUUAUAACGCUUCGAUUGGCUCUAUCAUGGUAAUAUUUCUUUGAUGGCUGUACAAUGAUUUGAUUUGUAUCAUGGAAGAUAUUUGCAUUUGAUUUUUGUCACUAAUGAACGAUGAUAGUAUUGAAUUAUGUGUUUUAUGAGUGGAAAAACCACUCCAACUCUUUCGGAAUUUCCUUAUGAGUUUCUUUUAUUAUCUGGUUGUUAAAAGGGUGAACUAUUUUUUUUCAGGUAAUAUCGAUGACUUGCAUAGUUUGAUUAUCUUCAUGGUUUUUCAUAUCUUUAUCAACUGGACCUGUUUUUGCCUAACUCUAGAACAUAUUUUUCUACUAUUAUCAUCAGUAUUCAGCAGUGACAAACCUGAUUAACAAGCUAUUGGUAAACUAAGGUAAAUCAUUGGUUGAGAAUGAAAAUAUCCUUUCUUGACUUAGUGGAUCAAUCUUCCUUGUGACUUGCCAGAGUUCCCCUAAUAUUUAUUGUCAGAUGAACGUGUAUCAAAUGACCUCUUAUAUGUGAAUUUAUCCCUGAAUUCCUAAUCUUAGUGAGUAUUAUUCUAAUUGGCCUUUGAACAGUAUUUAUAUUACUGGUAGACCUUUUAAGGUUGCUUCUGUCUCAAAUUCCAUGACAUCUCUUACCUGAGCUUAUAUAUAUCUUUUCCAAAGCCUUUUAAAAAAAAAAUUGUUUGAAGUUUCAGAUAUCUUGAAAAUAUUACGAUCAAUUUAUCCAUGUUUAUUGUUAAAGAGCAUUAGUUCCUUGGGAUAGAAUUUUGGUGUAUUAUGAUUGAGUGUAUAUAGAGUUGCUUUAUCCAUACUUGGUUCCGGUAAUACUUAACUAGAUAAUAUUAUUUGAACUAUUUUAUCUGGCAGUCACAUGGAAGGGGUACUUGUACAUUGUUGUGAUCAUUCCAUUUUCUUGGCUUGUUAUUUCAAAAGUAUCGUCACUGCUGGAUAUAUGAUAUACAAUAUUGAAAACAAUUCGUCCAUUUAUGUAUUUUUAAUCACCAAACAUUCAUUUGGUUUAUACAUUGUGCUACGCCAUCAUCCGUUAUUCCAAUCUCUAUCUUAUUUGAAAUACAACAAUUCAACGUUUUCCAACAAGCUUGUCUUAUUUUUCUUUUUAAACUUUUAAUUAUUGCCAUUAGAUGAAGAUAUGUUGUAUCAUUGGAUUUUGUGUAUUCAAAGCAAUAUACAUAAUAUUUGUAAAAUAGUAAUUUUAUACAGGCUGAAUUGUUUUUCUUUUAGGGAUAAAGAAGAUAACUUAUUUCGAGAAAAGAAGAUUUCUUUAUAUUGAAGAUUUCAAGGAUGCCAAUUGAUAACGAACUCAAGCGGUUCCGAGCUAUGAAUAACUAAGAUUUAUAAGGAUGUCUGUAAUGCAUCUCUUAGCAUACUAAUUCAGGUUAUGUUUCAAGUUUAACGCUUUUCCUAAUGUUUUGGUUAGGUUAUAAAGUCAAUUUUUGAAGAAAAAGAGGAAAGAGGCUUUAAUCUAUUGUGGCGCAAAUUUGCUCGAGAUUAUGGGAGAUGAUAAUUGAUGUUCUAAUGGCAGUGUUUUCAACAUAAUUAGAGGGAUGUGUAGAUAACUGGCGGUGCUUGAUGAUGAGAAAUUUAGAUUGUGUUCGGAUGUCGAAUCCGCUUCGAAUUUGUUUCAUUAGGUGAGGUUUAGUUGCAAGGUCAUGUUUAUGCAUGUUGUGCGCGCCAAAAGUUGCUGCCAUCCUCUAAGGUUGUAUGAAUGCCUUUCAUCGUAUUAGUCGCUUAUUCUGAAUGAGGUUUAGUGACUUUUUGCGAAAAAAGUCUUAAUUUCGGAGUUAGGGUCAUUAGUUCUUUUUAAUUUUCUGUUUUUUUC